GAUGAACGCUGGCGGCAGGCUUAACACAUGCAAGUCGAGCGGGGUGAUGGUGCUUGCACUAUCACUUAGCGGCGGACGGGUGAGUAAUGCUUAGGAAUCUGCCUAUUAGUGGGGGACAACAUCUCGAAAGGGAUGCUAAUACCGCAUACGUCCUACGGGAGAAAGCAGGGGAUCACUUGUGACCUUGCGCUAAUAGAUGAGCCUAAGUCGGAUUAGCUAGUUGGUGGGGUAAAGGCCUACCAAGGCGACGAUCUGUAGCGGGUCUGAGAGGAUGAUCCGCCACACUUGGACUGAGACACGGCCCAGACUCCUACGGGAGGCAGCAGUGGGGAAUAUUGGACAAUGGGGGGAACCCUGAUCCAGCCAUGCCGCGUGUGUGAAGAAGGCCUUAUGGUUGUAAAGCACUUUAAGCGAGGAGGAGGCUCUUUUGGUUAAUACCCAAGAUGAGUGGACGUUACUCGCAGAAUAAGCACCGGCUAACUCUGUGCCAGCAGCCGCCGUAA
rnacentral:rRNA from 1 species